CAGAGGCGGGCAGGGCUCUGCAGAGGGAUGGGUGAGAGCUGGCUCAGGCAGCUGCUUUCUGAGCCAUGUGGGCGCUGGAGGGCAGGCAGAGAGAUGAGGGAUGCUGCUGGUCUGUUGCCCAAGGACAGCAUCCAACAGCCUUCUGGGGGCCCUAUGCCAGGUGGUGGUGGCGGCCGUGUCUCUGUAGCCCACCGAUCAGUGUCUGGCACAGGGGCCCUGCGUGCUGAUCUGCAGAGCACAGGAGUCUGUUACGGCCCCACCGAGGGAGCCCUGACUCUAACUCCGGCUGGAGCAGCUCAUGCUUAGUUUCAGCGCUGAAGGUCGCUGGUUCAAUCUCCUGGCUUCAGCUAAGAUAGCGGCUGUUGCAUCUGCACUGGGGAUGUGUCUCAGUGCCAACCAGUGGGGCAGCACAGAUCCCUGGCGUUGACAAGCAGAGCCAGCCAGGAUUGCCAGCCGAGCAGCUUCCUGGAGCGGAGUUACUCCCCGAGUGGAAUUGGCCCUCCAUUGGAAUCAAACCAGGGUCCUCACGGCCAUGGGAACCUCUCCUUGGCCAGCCUGGAGCAGACAUGCCAAGUCUGUUACUCCCUGCCUGGAUCCUCUCCUCUUCCCAGCCAGCCAGGCAGGCAGGCAAGGUACCCUGCAGGUGACUACCUGGGCCGGGAGGUGAACACAGCCAUGUCCCUCUCCAGCAUCAGCUGGGGAAGGGGACAUACGCAGGAGAACAUCAUGUGGUUCCUUCCAACCAGCUCCCUUGUCUUGUGAUCACAGUCGACCCUGCCUGCAGCCCCAAAGGAAGCGCUGGCUCCAUUGCCCAUAAUCUGGGGGAAGGAGUUUCUGUUCUGCUGACGUUCAGAAGCAGUGAUGGGUCCACAGGCCGCCUGGUGUCUUCUUCGGUAAUGAGAAGGGGCUGGAUGGUGAUUAGUAAGUAAUCACUGGUAAUUACAUAGAUCCCACGUCUUCCGUCCCAGAGCGCGCUUACAAAUUAAGAGCCCAAUCCUGUAUCCGGUGGAGUCAAUGACAAAACUUCUAUUGACUUUAAUGGGAACAGGACUCUGUGGGCCUGAUCCUGAGAGGGGCUGAGCCCUUGCAACUCCCAUGGAAACCAGUGGGGGUUUGCAGGAUUGAGCCCUAUCGACAGACAGUGCCCCUAAAAUGCCAUCAACCGUGGCCUGCCUGUGACAAAGCCCUGCAGUUGUUUGAUAGCACAGAUGCUUACGGGAGGCACAUUCUAAGCUCACAUGCUGGGAUCCUCGUCCUGUCAAGUUUAUGCCCCAGAGACCUGAUUCUACGAGUUCUGAUCGACCAGUCAGGGAACGGAGACAACGCCGUGUGGCUUAUGCAGCCAAUCGCCACGAAGCCGUGGGGCAGUGUUGUAAUCCACAUGUCCAUAAAUUCAGAGUCCACCUCUUAUGGUACUGCUUGGGAGUAGACAUGUGCAAGUAUUUGAAGAAGAAAAAAUGAUUACUAAAUGUAGCUAUUGGGUUCUGGGAAGUGCUAAAGGAUCCCCGCCUCCAGCCUAAGGAGGGGGGAUCUACAGGGAUCUACAGGGGGCAAGUGAAAUUCACCCAUGGCUGCAUCUGCGAACAAGCGAACUCCACAGAAUUGCCACCUGUGAGCGAAGAGAGAGGAGAAUCUCCUCGUACAAUCUCUCCAGCGCUAUGGAGUCGCAGAGAGAACAUUUCAGCUCCUUUGAAAGGCUCGGCCUGGAUUUGGGGCCAGAAUCCGAUUCCUUCCUUGCUCUGGAUUUUUCUUUGCCUUUCUCCUCCGCGGGGGAGCCACCUCCCGGAGUCAUGAGUUAUUUAUGGCUUGUGAUUUCCCAGGGCUUUGGAAAAAUCCUCAGGGGGGCCGUGUAGCUUACACACCCACACUCACACGUCUGGCUGCACAUCUUCAUUGCUGCCCGCUUUGCAAACACACACACACACACACACACACACACACACACACACACACACACACGUUGUUAUACACACACAGAGUCUCCCUCACCUUCCUUCCCACCCCAUGGAUGUGACCCACUGACACAGUGAUGCCAGCCACCGUCUGAUGAGUGGGGGCGCUCACUGGCUGGCCGGGCGCCUGGCUUCACGCAGAUCUCAGCCAGGAAAAGACACAUUGUGGGGCCUGGCUGGGAGCGAGGCCAUGGCUUUGAGGUCAGACGGGCCACUGAGUUCACUAGGGCUGCAGGGCUGGUCAUGGGGCUGAGUGACCCCAGGGCUGGCUCAGACAUAACCAGAGAGCACUGCUUUUAGUAUCUCACUUGCUAUGCACUACAGUCUCUUUUAUAGCGCAAACCGCUGACUGCUGCCCACAGGCCCUGCCCACCUCACAGGAGGUGGAGUUCUGGGCAGGCAGCUCCCCACUCUCCAGCACCUUCACAGAAAGGAGGCGGAAGAUAAGCACUUGGCAGCAGUGUUUCUCUUUCUUAGCAGAGAGAAGAUGUUGGGGGGGGGUGAAUUAGCAAGAAUAUGGUAAUGAGCCAGGCUCAUGUGGCUGCAUCACCACUUCCCCCUACUGGGUGAAAUCAGAACUGUUCAGCUGUGUGUCAUAAGCCCCAUACUGCUCUCGGCAAGUUUCCUUUAGCUCAAGUGGCAGGGCCUGUGCAUUAGGGGGUUGGGGUAGGGUGUCUGAGUUCUAUCAUUACUGCUGUCAUGAUGUGCCAAGUGGCUGCAGUAGCAGCAUCAGCAAUCCCCCUUGGCGAUGCAGGGACCGAGCUGUCCACCCCACCCCUCUUUAGCUUUGGUCUUCCUGCAGCAUGGCUGAGACCUGCGGAGGAUUUAUGCUCUCUGGUUGCCUGCCACCUGCAGUGCAGGGCUCGGUCUGUGGAUGACAUUUUCCAUGACAGGCCAUAAGUGGUGAAGGCUGCCUGGCAGCGCGGGGUUUAAUGUGCUGUACCUCUUAUUGGAUCCCGCCAGGAGCAUCUGGAUUGAGUUAUCUCGUCUGACUGGCAGAAAUGCAUGCACCAGGCUGGCAGGGAGCCUGGCUCCAAUUAUUACAGGGGCAUCAUGCAAAACUGUGAUGCCAUUCAGUGUAAAUGGGGUGGCAGACUGCCUACUUUAACUCAGCUCAGGGGGAAAACAGUAGCCUAGAGCAGAGGUUCUCAAAGGCGGUCCACGGCUUGUGCAGGGAAAGCCCCUGGCGGGCCGGGAUGGUUUGUUUACCUCGUCCACAGGUUCGGCCAAUGGCGGCUCCCACUGGCCGCGGUUCGCUGCUUCAGGCCUAUGGGGGCUAUGGGAAGUGGCACGGACUGAGG